GGCUUGGUAGUGGAGGGUCCACAUCUGUGCUUUAUGUGACAGCCGCCAAAAAUGCAGUUAUGCAGAUAUAGUCUGUUCAACUCAGGCCCAAGCCG